UUGUUCUCAGAUAAAAAGCAGUUUUAUAAACCCGCAGUCCUCUCCAGUCCAUUCGGUGACGUUUCAGAAGAGAGAGGUGAUAUGAGCCAAGGACACUGCAGGGCACAGUGACAACUCGAAGGAUGAAUUAACUGUUCUGGAAAUGGCUACUCAGGUCGCCCUGAGUAGACAAAGGUUUCUCUUCAUUCCUGAGGGCCCAGAUGCCACCUACUGCCCUUCAGUCACUUCAGGAAAUAAACUUUGGCAGGCGUCUUGCUGCAGUACCAGAGUAGAAGGAUGUCUUCCCUAUGCCCACACAGCUGCAGCUCACCAGCAACUAUUCACUUCCAACACCGUGGGUUUUCUCAUGAGAACCCCCAGGUUUGAGAGGAGUGAGAGGUUCCUCUGAGUUCUGACAGAUUCCAACACACAGACUACGGCAAAUAUGGACCACUGGGCACAUGACCAAGAGCUCGGGUGUCUGCUGAAGCUUCUGGCUGAGUGUGGUGCACCCUAAAGCACACUCCUGUCAAAGUAAGAACGCGUUCAUAAAGAACGAGACCUUUUGGGGCU
rnacentral:lncRNA from 1 species